rnacentral:rRNA from 1 species
AUACGGAGGAUCCGAGCGUUAUCCGGAUUUAUUGGGUUUAAAGGGAGCGUAGGCGGGAGAUCAAGUCAGCUGUGAAAUGUAGAUGCUCAACAUCUGCACUGCAGUUGAAACUGGUUUUCUUGAGUGCGUAAGGGGCAGGCGGAAUUCGUCGGGUAGCGGUGAAAUGCUUAGAUAUGACGAAGAACCCCGAUCGCGAAGGCAGCCUGCCGGGCCGCGACUGACGCUGAAGCUCGAAGGUGCGGGUAUCGAACAGGAUUAGAUACCCUGGCAGUCCGCACAGUAAACGAUGAUUACCCGCUGUCGGCGGCAGACAGUCGGCGGCCAAGCGAAAGCGAUAAGUAAUCCACCUGGGGAGUACGCCGGCAACGGUGAAACUCAAAGGAAUCGGCGGGG